GAGAAAGACAUAGUGGUUAUGAUAUUGGCUUGAAACCAGUUAGAGGGGGUUCGAUU
rnacentral:tRNA from 1 species